GAUGAACGCUGGCGGCGUGCCUAAUACAUGCAAGUCGAGCGAACGGACGAGAAGCUUGCUUCUCUGAUGUUAGCGGCGGACGGGUGAGUAACACGUGGAUAACCUACCUAUAAGACUGGGAUAACUUCGGGAAACCGUAGCUAAUACCGGAUAAUAUUUUGAACCGCAUGGUUCAAAAGUGAAAGACGGUCUUGCUGUCACUUAUAGAUGGAUCCGCGCUGCAUUAGCUAGUUGGUAAAGUAACGGCUUACCAAGGCAACGAUGCAUAGCCGACCUGAGAGGGUGAUCGGCCACACUGGAACUGAGACACGGUCCAGACUCCUACGGGAGGCAGCAGUAGGGAAUCUUCCGCAAUGGGCGAAAGCCUGACGGAGCAACGCCGCGUGAGUGAUGAAGGUCUUCGGAUCGUAAAACUCUGUUAUUAGGGAAGAACAUAUGUGUAAGUAACUGUGCACAUCUUGACGGUACCUAAUCAGAAAGCCACGGCUAACUACGUGCCAGCAGCCGCGGUAAUACGUAGGUGGCAAGCGUUAUCCGGAAUUAUUGGGCGUAAAGCGCGCGUAGGCGGUUUUUUAAGUCUGAUGUGAAAGCCCACGGCUCAACCGUGGAGGGUCAUUGGAAACUGGAAAACUUGAGUGCAGAAGAGGAAAGUGGAACUCCAUGUGUAGCGGUGAAAUGCGCAGAGAUAUGGAGGAACACCAGUGGCGAAGGCGACUUUCUGGUCUGUAACUGACGCUGAUGUGCGAAAGCGUGGGGAUCAAACAGGAUUAGAUACCCUGGUAGUCCACGCCGUAAACGAUGAGUGCUAAGUGUUAGGGGGUUUCCGCCCCUUAGUGCUGCAGCUAACGCAUUAAGCACUCCGCCUGGGGAGUACGACCGCAAGGUUGAAACUCAAAGGAAUUGACGGGGACCCGCACAAGCGGUGGAGCAUGUGGUUUAAUUCGAAGCAACGCGAAGAACCUUACCAAAUCUUGACAUCUUUUGACAACUCUAGAGAUAGAGCCUUCCCCUUCGGGGGACAAAGUGACAGGUGGUGCAUGGUUGUCGUCAGCUCGUGUCGUGAGAUGUUGGGUUAAGUCCCGCAACGAGCGCAACCCUUAAGCUUAGUUGCCAUCAUUAAGUUGGGCACUCUAAGUUGACUGCCGGUGACAAACCGGAGGAAGGUGGGGAUGACGUCAAAUCAUCAUGCCCCUUAUGAUUUGGGCUACACACGUGCUACAAUGGACAAUACAAAGGGCAGCGAAACCGCGAGGUCAAGCAAAUCCCAUAAAGUUGUUCUCAGUUCGGAUUGUAGUCUGCAACUCGACUACAUGAAGCUGGAAUCGCUAGUAAUCGUAGAUCAGCAUGCUACGGUGAAUACGUUCCCGGGUCU
rnacentral:rRNA from 1 species